GUGGGGAAUAUUGGACAAUGGGGGGAACCCUGAUCCAGCCAUGCCGCGUGUGUGAAGAAGGCCUUUUGGUUGUAAAGCACUUUAAGCGAGGAGGAGGCUACCGAGAUUAAUACUCUUGGAUAGUGGACGUUACUCGCAGAAUAAGCACCGGCUAACUCUGUGCCAGCAGCCGCGGUAAUACAGAGGGUGCAAGCGUUAAUCGGAUUUACUGGGCGUAAAGCGCGCGUAGGUGGCCAAUUAAGUCAAAUGUGAAAUCCCCGAGCUUAACUUGGGAAUUGCAUUCGAUACUGGUUGGCUAGAGUAUGGGAGAGGAUGGUAGAAUUCCAGGUGUAGCGGUGAAAUGCGUAGAGAUCUGGAGGAACACCGAUGGCGAAGGCAGCCAUCUGGCCUAAUACUGACACUGAGGUGCGAAAGCAUGGGGAGCAAACAGGAUUAGAAACCCGAGUAGUCC
rnacentral:rRNA from 1 species